UUAGAAUGUGAAGAAGAGCAUGAGAAAUUAAAAGAUGAAGUGAAGAACUUGAAAAGUGUGCUGUAUGAAUUGAAAGAUCUAGUUCGAAGUAUGAGGGAAAACAACUCAAAUACUUAUGCACGCUCAAGACAAUCCGCUUCAAUGGACAAUGUAGAAAGUUGUUCAGAUGCUCACCUCGAAGACGAGUAGUGCAACAUCAAUUGUAUUUUGCUACAAUAUGUAUUUUGAAUUUUAAGGUUUUGAUAUAUUUGCGGAUUGCUUAUAUGUUUUAAGGAUAAUGGGGAUUGUUUAUGUUUUAACUAUUGAGAAUAAUUUUAAUUGAACGCUUAAAAUUUUAGUA